UACGGAGGGUGCAAACGUUGCUCGGAAUCAUUGGGCGUAAAGCGCACGUAGGCGGCUUUUCAAGUCGGAUGUGAAAGCCCUGGGCUCAACCCAGGAAGUGCAUUCGAAACUGUGAGGCUUGAGUCCCGGAGGGGCCCAGAGAAUUCCCGGUGUAGAGGUGAAAUUCGUAGAUAUCGGGAGGAAUACCAGUGGCGAAGGCGCUGGGCUGGACGGGAACUGACGCUGAGGUGCGAAAGCGUGGGGAGCAAACAGGAUUAGAAACCCCCGUAGUCC
rnacentral:rRNA from 1 species